rnacentral:rRNA from 1 species
GACGAACCGUGCGAACGUUGUUCGGAAUCACUGGGCUUAAAGGGCGCGUAGGCGGGCCGCCGCGUCCGGGGUGAAAUCCUCCCGCUCAACGGGAGAACGGCCUCGGAUACGGGCGGCCUGGAGGGGGGUAGGGGCACGCGGAACUGUGGGUGGAGCGGUGAAAUGCGUUGAGAUCCACAGGAACUCCGGUGGCGAAGGCGGCCUGCUGGGCAGUUUUGCUGACACUGAGGCGCGACAGCGUGGGGAGCAAACAGG